UACGUAGGCAGCAAGCGUUGUUCGGAAUUACUGGGCGUAAAGAGUGUGUAGGCGGUGCUCUAAGUUCGGUGUGAAAUCUCCCGGCUUAACUGGGAGGGGUCAUGCGAUACUGGCGGGCUCGAGGCAGGUAGGGGGAAGCGGAAUUCCCGGUGUAGUGGUGGAAUGCGUAGAUAUCGGGAGGAACACCAGUGGCGAAGGCGGCUUCCUGGACCUGUUCUGACGCUGAGGAGCGAAAGCGUGGGGAGCGAUCCGG
rnacentral:rRNA from 1 species